rnacentral:tRNA from 1 species
GGGCCCGUAGCUCAGUCAGGUCAGAGCGGCCGGCUCUUAACCGGUAGGGACGAGUUCGAGUCGCGGGUUCGAAUCCCGCCGGGCCCG